rnacentral:rRNA from 1 species
UACGGGGGGAGCAAGCGUUGUUCGGAUUUACUGGGCGUAAAGGGCGCGUAGGCGGUCUUGACAAGUCACUUGUGAAAUCUCCGGGCUUAACUCGGAACGGUCAAGUGAUACUGUCGGACUAGAGUACAGAAGGGGCAACUGGAAUUCUCGGUGUAGCGGUGAAAUGCGUAGAUAUCGAGAGGAACACCUGCGGCGAAGGCGGGUUGCUGGGCUGAUACUGACGCUGAGGCGCGAAAGCCAGGGGAGCGAACGGG